rnacentral:lncRNA from 1 species
CCAAGCCCAAUUGUAUUAAUGGCGCUCUACACUCUACCCACUCUACCCAUUUAUCAUUACCUCCCACCUUCACCAAUUUAUAAUAUAGUAUUAAAGCAGAUCUGACCUGUUUCUAUUUCCUAGUAAAUCCAGUCUUUCAUUUCCCAAAGGAACACUGUUUCAAGAAGAGUUCAUUUUAAGUGACAACUAGGUAUUCAAGUCCCAGUUGCACUUGAAGGAAAGUGUUAGAGAAUUCCACAUUGCUAAAGAAUCAAACGUAUAAAGAACUUAGUUCAACCAACUAAGUUGCUAAUUCUAGUAAUUUUAGUAAUGGCUAGAUCCAAGCCCAAUUUUAUUAAUAUGCUUUACACUCUACCCAUUUAUCAUCACCUCCCACCUUCAACAAUUUCUAAAAUCCCCAAACCCAACCCUGAUGACAUAUUUAAAGUCUUCAGUUAACAGCGCUAAAAAAGACAGAUAAUGGUGGCAAAAUCCCAGACAGUACUCUCUAGACAACAUUAGCAUGCAUGUACCAAACAAAAAUUACAGAUGAACUUCCAAAGAAUGCUCACUAGACAACAUUAUUCUGCAUGGACCAAACAAGAAUUACAGCAAUGGAUCUCAUUAUGGGAGGCCAUUACAUGUUAUUACAUUGGUAUUAGACUCUUGCACUUUGCAAAAUAAACUUCUACAUUUAAUUUCACAUCCAAAAAGGAAAGCUUAAAUCAUUAUUCACUAGAAAAUGCAUGUCUGGACUCUAAUACUAUAAUUUCAACCUAAGCAUUGAGGUUGACUCUUUUCUUCCUCAAAUUGUAUGUCUUAUUUGUCCAAUCCAUUGCCAUUUGGGAUGAGAUCAAUUCAGAAAUGGUAUCACCAGUGCAAAACCAACAUCACACUACACUCACAACAUUAUUUUCCCACCUUCCUUUCUAGUUCUCUCUAUUUCUGCUCUUCUUUCCUUUGUUACCUUAGGACUCUUCUUCCCCUUACCUUUGGUCCUUGGGCUUUCU